AGUGAACGCUGGCGGCGUGCUUAACACAUGCAAGUCGAACGAGAACGGGCUAUAGCUUGCUAUAGUUGUCAGCUAAGUGGCGCACGGGUGAGUAAUGUAUAGGUAAUAUGCCUCUUACUAAGGGAUAACAAAUGGAAACGUUUGCUAAUACCUUAUACUCCUUAUUAACAGAAGUUAAUAAGGGAAAGAUUUAUUGGUAAGAGAUUAGCCUGUAUUGUAUCAGUUAGUUGGUGGGGUAAUGGCUUACCAAGACUAUGACACAUAACUGGUUUGAGAGGAUGAUCAGUCACACUGGGACUGAGACACGGUCCAGACUCCUACGGGAGGCAGCAGUGGGGAAUAUUGCACAAUGGACGAAAGUCUGAUGCAGCAACGACGCGUGGAGGAUGACACAUUUCGGUGCGUAAACUCCUUUUAUAUGAGAAGAUAAUGACGGUAUUAUAUGAAUAAGCACCGGCUAACUCCGUGCCAGCAGCCGCCGUAA
rnacentral:rRNA from 1 species